rnacentral:rRNA from 1 species
CAAUGAUUUCCUUAGUAACGGCGAGUGAACAGGAAAGAGCUCAAAGUUGGAACCCGUUUGGUUUAGCCAAACUGGAUUGUAAACUGUAGAAGUGUUUUCCUGGCACGCCUGAUGAAAAAGUCCAUUGGAACAUGGUGACAUAGAGGGUGAGAGCCCCGUAUUUCGUCAGAGCUGUUGUCUUUUGUGAUACACUUUCAAAGAGUCAGGUUGUUUGGGAAUGCAGCCUAAAUUGGGUGGUAAAUCUCACCUAAAGCUAAAUAUUGGCAAAAGACCGAUAGCGAACAAGUACCGUGAGGGAAAGAUGAAAAGAACUUUGAAAAGAGAGUUAAACAGUAUGUGAAAUUGUUAAAAGGGAACCGUUUGGAGCCAGACUGGCUUGAUUGUAAUCAAUCUAGAUUUCGAUCUGGAUGCACUUGCAGUCUAUGCCUGCCAACGACAAUUCAUUCUGGAGGAAAAAACUAGGAGGAAUGUGGCCCCUCGGGGUGUUAUAGCCUCUUAGAAAAUACUCUGGGUUGGAUUGAGGAACGCAGUGGAUGCUAUUUGGCGAAGUUGCUGAGUGCUUUUACUGGUACGUGCUAGAAUUUCUGCUUCGGGUGGUGCUAGUAUUUACCGGUGAAACUCGCUUGGUAAUCUUUUUAUCCGCUUAGGUUGUUGGCUUAAUGACUCUAAAUGACCCGUCU